rnacentral:rRNA from 1 species
GAUGAACGCUGGCGGCGUGCCUAAUACAUGCAAGUCGAGCGAACAGACGAGGAGCUUGCUCCUCUGACGUUAGCGGCGGACGGGUGAGUAACACGUGGAUAACCUACCUAUAAGACUGGGAUAACUUCGGGAAACCGGAGCUAAUACCGGAUAAUAUAUUCAACCGCAUGGUUCAAUAGUGAAAGACGGUUUUGCUGUCACUUAUAGAUGGAUCCGCUCCGCAUUAGCUAGUUGGUAAGGUAACGGCUUACCAAGGCAACGAUGCGUAGCCGACCUGAGAGGGUGAGCGGCCACACUGGAACUGAGACACGGUCCAGACUCCUACGGGAGGCAGCAGUAGGGAAUCUUCCGCAAUGGGCGAAAGCCUGACGGAGCAACGCCGCGUGAGUGAUGAAGGUCUUCGGAUCGUAAAACUCUGUUAUUAGGGAAGAACAAAUGUGUAAGUAACUAUGCACGUCUUGACGGUACCUAAUCAGAAAGCCACGGCUAACUACGUG